rnacentral:lncRNA from 1 species
GUAAGUAUGGAUAUUAACUAGGACUAGGAAUAAUUGCCUAUAUACCUCUCAAAACUUUGGAAAUAUUUUAUUUAUCCCUACUUUUUUUUCUUUCCAAUAUACCACUCAUAUGUUCCUCUGUUAUUCCAAAACACCCAUACAGUUAUCACCCGUUAAGUUAACUUAGGUUGAACUUGAGUUAAAUAUCUAUUACAGUUAAAAAAAAUUAAAAUGCCUCUUUUGCCUUUAACUUAAGGGCAAAUAAGAAAUGUCGGUGAUGGUAGAAGGGUAUAUUUGAAAAGACCAAAAAGUAAAAUAAUUUUUGUGCCUCUAAUUUAAGAGCAAAUAAGAAAAGUUAAUGCGGAUAGAAAGGUAUAUUUGUAAGGAAAAAAUAGUAAUUUUAUAGAGAUAACAGAGUUCAUUAACAAAUUUUAACUCUAGUAGGGGUAUAUUUGAAAUAGGUUGGAACGUAAAAAAAAUAUUUUCAAUAUUAACCUUCUAAGAGGGGUAAAUUAGAAAGUCGGAAACUUUUCAGAGGUAUAUAAGCAAUUGCCCCUAUUAACUACUAUAGAUAUUACAUUU